UUAUCUGAUGUUCUUUUACGCAUUUCUGUUACAGCUUUCUGAUGGGUGUUUAUCUUUCAGGAUAUGUUAUCACAAAAAAACAAAAGGUAAAGCCAAUAACAGAGCUCCAGAUCAACUGCAGAGGCUUUUCCUGAAGAUCUCUGACAGUGAAAUGAGGCCGGGGGCGAUGUGCAUGUCAAUACAGAGCCCGUUUCUUAGCUGCAGAAAUUUGCUUAAUGAUUAUGGGGGGAAAGUUGUAAAUAAACUGUGACUAUUAACAACUGCAUUGCUUAGCAAGUUCCCAUACCAAUUUUAGUCAUAAAUCAAGGUAUUACAACCAACCAUAGAUCUUGUCUACUAAAAGUCUGAGAUUAAGUACAAGUUGCAGUGCUGCCUUUUCUCACCACCAGUUAGCAUAUCUGACAUUGCAGUACCAGAUUAUCUGCUUAUAUAUGCUCUGUAAAUCUUUCUACCACCUAUAGAUAUGGAAGGAAAGUUCAUCUUGCUCAUUAUAAGUGAAAGACAGAAUGCUAUUGGAUGUUCUUCUCUUUGAUUUAGAUUGCAAUCCAAGCAAGUUUAAGCUACAGCUGCUAAUUUGAAUUUCCAUAGCGACUGUGGAUAGGUUAAAUUGGUCCAAUCAAACCAAAUGUGGACCAGAAUCUAUCUGGAACCUAUCUUGCAGAAGAUAUUCAUGUGUAGCCAUGAU